AGUGAACGCUGGCGGUAGGCCUAACACAUGCAAGUCGAACGGCAGCACAGAGGAGCUUGCUCCUUGGGUGGCGAGUGGCGGACGGGUGAGGAAUACAUCGGAAUCUACUCUGUCGCGGGGGAUAACGUAGGGACACUUACGCUAAUACCGCAUACGACCUACGGGUGCAAGCAGGGGAUCUUCGGCCCUUGCGCGAUUGAAUGAGCCGGCGUCGGAGUAGCUAGUGGGCGGGGUAAAGGCCCACCAAGGCGACGAUCCGUAUCUGGUCGGAGAGGAUGAGCAGCCAAACUGGAGCUGGGACACGGACCAGACUCCGACGGGGGGUGGCAGGGGGGAAUAGUGGACAAGGGGCGCAAGCCUGAUCCAGCCAUACCGCGGGGGUGAAGGAGGCCUUCGGGUUGUAAAGCCCUUGUGUUGGGAAAGAAAUCCAGCUGGUAAAUACCCGGGUGGGAUGACGGUACCCAAAGCAUAAGCACCGGCUAACUUCGUGCCAGCCGCCGCCGUAA
rnacentral:rRNA from 1 species